rnacentral:rRNA from 1 species
UACGUAGGGGGCUAGCGUUGUCCGGAAUCAUUGGGCGUAAAGCGCGCGUAGGUGGCCACAUAAGUCCGUUGUGAAAGUCAAAGGCUCAACCUUUGAAAGCCGGUGGAUACUGUCGGGCUAGAGUACGGAAGAGGCAAGUGGAAUUCCUGGUGUAGCGGUGGAAUGCGCAGAUAUCAGGAGGAACACCGGUGGCGAAGGCGGGAUCCUGGGCCAGUACUGACGCUGAGGAGCGAAAGCGUGGGGAGCAAACAGG